UUUUUUUUUUUUUGUCAACUUCUUAUAUUAAAAGCCCAACACGGGGUAGAGAGUACAAAUUUAGGCCCAACAAACCACAAAUUGCAAGACAAAAUAUAAACAUUGAACAAUACAAAACACGUGUAUAGCAACGUGGCAAUUUCUGAACAGAUCUGUGUUCUUCCCAUGGCAAAGCCACCGACCGGAGCGCUUCAAUCACUGAAAUUUUUGCUUCCGAUCUGUUCUUCAAAGCUUCUGCACAGAUUUCUAUUGAACGUAGCCUGUAAUUUGUACGAAUCACCUUCUACUAAUAAUUUCUGGAGAUUUUGACUGAGUUUUAAACUUUGUUCACCGGAAUUCAAUCUCGAUUGAUAAGGAUUAAAGUAUUCUUCAGAGAACUAUCUAACACGACAAGGACUCUAAAUCUUCAUACUCCACUUCCCUCAACCGCAUCAACUUGAAUCAAAACGACCAAAGAGAACCUUCACUCAAUACAAACCAUCCAUGGAAGAGUGAGGAAAUUACCGUCAAUUGGACGAAGAUUCAAGCACAGCACAACAAAGAUCUAUCAAAACCAUCCUGAUUUCAACGCUUCCUUCACAUGAAAACGCUGACUUUAAGAACCAGCAGAAGGCUUUAACAAAAGAUUAGAACCGAAACAAAUUCGGAAAACUAAACCGACAAAACAUCGGAACUAGAACUGGACAAAACCAGAAAACCUAAAACACCAAAGAUAUCAAACAUACAUAUAGUUAUAAUUAUAAGAUCUCUGAUGAUAAUCAGAGAAGAAAAGCAAAGCUUUCUCUCUCUAAAAGAUCCGAGAGAGUUAAGAGAGAGAAGCUUAUGGUUAAAAAAGUUAAACCUAUAUAAAGCUUGCUUUUAAAUUUAUCAAUGUGUAUCUCUGUAUUUUUUAUUUAUU
rnacentral:lncRNA from 1 species